rnacentral:misc_RNA from 1 species
AAAAGUGAAAAAAGAAUGGAAAGAGAGAAAUGCCAAAAUGUGUUUCAGCAAAUAAGAAGACGUGAAUAUGGCAUUAAACAAGGGCCGAGAUCAAAAUUUGAAAUCCUUAAGACUCUGUUAUUAAAUGAAAACUAUGUUUACAAAGAUGUAUGGAGGGUGUAUUCAAGCAAACACAUAAAAACAGAAGGGGGAAGAAUAUUCUUAGAAAAUUACAAAGAGUGUUAUGGAGGGUAUGUAAAAUAGUUUGAAGGAUCAAGAAGGCUUAGAAAUUGUAUUUUAUGACUAAACCAAGUGGGCAGUUGCGCCAUCUUAUUUCCCCAUCUUCUUUUUAAAAUCAAUUUUUUUAAAAACUUUUUGUCAAAGAGUAUUAUAUAAUGUAUAAUUGCAUGCAUGUGUUCGUAAAAUGGAUGUUAUACCCAGAGUAUUGACUUGUCGAUAUUAAUAGGUAUGGAAAGGGGAAUAAGCCAGUUCACCUUUAUUCUCUGCGGACCCCCCAGGACCAGAAGAUCGAGACAGCCCUAGAAGCUGCCAUUCAACCAGAGACAUUAUCUCUACCACAUCAUGGAGAACGGCCAUCAUUCCUGUGCAUUGUGGGUAAAUCCUGGUUAAUGCGGUAUGACUUGUUAACUGGGAGUUUACUGGAGGAAGUCUAUCUGUCCCCGAAGUCCUAUUGUAGUUUCAAAGAUUUGAGUUGGAAUGAACCUGGUAAAUCCAUAGUUGUAAAGUCCACACACAAUGUAGCUGGGGGCAUUCGUCCGGCAGAGUCAGGACAAUCAAAUAUUGUCGGUGUUUCAGCUUUGUUUGAAGUGUUCCCCCUCAAGUUCAUUGGAAUGUUUGAAAUUACUAGAAGUGUAUUUGGGAAGGACACAGUGGACGCUAUGGCCUCCAGUGGGUUUCUGACUACCAUGCACAGGUCGGGCAUGGUGAAGCUACACAGCUUAGAGUACAUCAUCCAGAAAUAUAAGCAGUUUGAGGCUGACCUUUAUACUUUGACCCCUGACCUUGGUUAUGUCUGUGGGAAGCAGCCUUAUGGCUUACCACUUAACAUUGUCAUUAAAGAAGAGCCACCAGUGCUGUUUCAGAUCAGGUGUUACCAAAAUAGUCUUGAGGUGGGAGGCUGUCCCUGGCACUUCAUCUACACUCCCCCCAACAAGAGGGGGUCCUUCCAAGUCAAGUCUCUCUCCUCAGAACAACUGGUGAAGAAUGGAACCCUUGAUUCAAAAGCGAUUGGUCUAGAGGAAGACAGAGCAUUGUUUUGUGCAGAUGAAUCUGGCAGAAUUUUACACAUUGACAGUACCUCAGUGAGUAUGUACCAACUAGAUAAGGCAGACUCUUCCCAUUCAGAGUUAAAGAAAUGUUUUACAAUUAACCUUGGCCAGGAAGGUCAGGAACCUCCCCCAGGCACCAUCACUACCACGACCUCAGGGCGACAUGUUCGGAGGAUCAGCCUGGGUUCUAUGCUUCAGAUGGACGCUGAACUCCCAAACUUGUAUAUUCACAAUGUGGAUUAUGAAAAUGAACUGAAUCUCCUUUGGACCAGUGUUGACUAUUCUGUGUCAGAAGACAAAGUGCAGAGCUAUCUACGUUUUCAUGAUAUCAUUUCUGGUAAAACUUUGAAGGAAAUUGAAUUGAAACAACCAUUUGAAGAGUCAAUGCAUGAAGAAAAUAAUCUGUAUGUAGACUUAGAUACAGUAGUGCAGACAGUUCGGUCAUUUAACAGUGAGUUUGCUUGUGUUGUGUACAGACUACAAUCAACAGAAGGGGAACAGAGCCAGGAAGAAGACUCUGUAGCUCACACCAAGUCCCCAGUGGAACGACCAUCAACACAAAGAUCUCGUCGUUCACGUAGAAGUCGACAAAAUCUUGAUGGAGAAAUAGAUGAUGAAAGGACAUUGUCAAAUACUCAGAAUAUUAAUGAAAGGACUUCUGGUAAUAGGAGACGAAGUUCUAGGCAAGAUUCAGAUGAGGAAUGGUCGGUUGAGAGCAGUUCUUCAGAAACAACGAGGCCCAGACGCCAGGCAAGGCGUGGGGUUAGUGAAAGAUCUUUGUCCAAUCGCAGACAGCGGGGUAGGAGACGAAAGAGAGAAAGAUAAGAAUGUUCUUUGUGCAAAAAGGAAUUACUGAUGGACUUACAAAACAUGCUCAGUGGAAUCACUUCUUUUCUUCUUAAGAAAACAUGAAAAUGAUUCCUCAACAUCAGACAUUGAUGGUUAUUUAAAGAGGCAGCUAGAGAUAUAAUAAUGUAAUGGAGGUACAUUGUAGUUCUUAAAAACCGCCACAAGGAAGAUCCAAUUUGAACAGGCUAAUACUGUAGCGAAACAAAUUUGCUCAAGGGAUGUUGAGCAAAUGUUGAGUAGCAUUAUACAUUAUAUAUUUUUUUGGAGAGAAGUAAAGGAUAGAAUUUUUUAAAAUAUGGUGUCAGUAAAAUACUUCCUUAAUUAAAACAAAUUCAGAAUGCAUGUUAUUUUUAACAAAAUUUAUUUUUAACAACCAGUUUAAAGUUUCUAUCAACAAUUUUACAUAUAUUUGUAUUUCCAUGCAAUCUAUGCUCAACAUUCACACUGUAUAUGCUGAAUUCCAACCUUUACUAUCAGUAAAAUUUUGACAUGUAUCAAUGGUAAUGAGUAAUGGAAUAGAUAUAUACAAAUCU